AUACGGAGGAUCCGAGCGUUAUCCGGAUUUAUUGGGUUUAAAGGGAGCGUAGGUGGAUUGUUAAGUCAGUUGUGAAAGCUUGCGGCUCAACCGUAAAAUUGCAGUUGAAACUGGCAGUCUUGAGUACAGUAGAGGUGGGCGGAAUUCGUGGUGUAGCGGUGAAAUGCUUAGAUAUCACGAAGAACUCCGAUUGCGAAGGCAGCUCGCUAGACGGCAACUGACACUGAUGCUCGAAAGUGUGGGUAUCAAACAGGAUUAGAUACCCUGGUAGUCCACACAGUAAACGAUGAAUACUCGCUGUUUGCGAUAUACAGUAAGCGGCCAAGCGAAAGCAUUAAGUAUUCCGCCUGGGGAGUACGCCGGCAACGGUGAAACUCAAAUGAAUUGACGGGG
rnacentral:rRNA from 1 species